CGUAUAUAAAUGCCUGUUUAUCUCGUUGUACACAAGUUGAGACAUCUAGCUCGGGAGCAAAAUGAAGACAUCAUUAGGGUUUGUGGCAUGGUUAUGCUGCAUCGCAAUCCUUGUUUUUUUCUUCAAAGAUCCCUCGCUUGACCAUCGCUUUGGCCGGAAGCUGAUGAGAGGUCGCGAAGAUGAUGAUAUUCCUGGGAAAUCACUACCCGCGCCGAUUGGAGGUGGAAAGAUUCAUCAUUAAGGAACAAAGUAAUGCAGCACGCAAGCCCCUGAUCUGCUAUAAAUGAGUUAAUCUCAGAAGAUCAUGUUUCGAUCAUAGGUUAUCAUCAUGUAAUCUCAACUACUUAGCCUAGAAUUGCUGUGACAUGUCAUGUAGUAAUGAUAAUACAUUAUUUUUCCCCACACAGUAUAUAUAUUUUAGGGAUAUAACGAUUUUUAA